GGGCGCUUAGCUCAGUAGGGAGAGCGCCAGCUCGACAAGCUGGAGGUCGCUGGUUCGAGCCCAGCAGCGCCCA
rnacentral:tRNA from 1 species